rnacentral:lncRNA from 1 species
CUUAGGAGAUGUUGAAGACAUUCUGAGGAUCAAGGUAACACGUAAAUGUAUGAAUUUGUAUUUCACUUAUUUAAGAUGUUCGAAGUACUUUAUAUGUCAUAUAUGUUUAAGCGUCCAUAUAUAUGGGUAUUUUAAAAUAAAGCUUUUGAGGAAAUAAUUCUUGUAUACAUGUAACUGAUAUAUUGAAACACCAAACAAGAGUAUUAAAAAAUCUAAUCUUAUUAUAUAGUAUGCAGAUGGGUCUUUCUUUAACACGAGACUCAUCAGAGGACCUCGAAGCAAAACAUUUGUCAAAUAACGAAGAGAAAUUGAAUGUCACCAUAAUGUUGUUUUAACAAAGACAUUUAAGAUAACUCCGACUUUAUCUUACAAUGCUAUGUUUUUUUUUCAUUUACACAAUAAGAGUUAUAAAUUGAAAAUUGAAAUAGAGGCUUGUUUAAAAAAACACUGGUAUAAGUUUUAUUCUAGUUAGUGUUUGAUUUAAAUAUAGCGUUUUACGUUCUUCACUGAAACAAAAUUUAUAAUAGAUAGGGUUGCUGAAGGUUAAACUAUCUAGAAGUUUUUUAAAAGUAAGAUUUUUUUUUAACAAAAAAAUAUAAUAUCUACAUUUCUUAACUAUGAAUGUUGUCUUUCAUUUCUUUAAUGAGCAUCAGUUACGCACAUAAUUGUUUCAGUAAGAUAACACAACAUUCGAUAUAGACAUUAAUGUUUUAUUUUUAAACGAAAUACAGCGUAAAUGCAUACAUAAUAUACAUAACAUUUCAAUACACAGAUACACGUAUAAAAACUUAUAGUAAUAGCAAUACUGGUGUUAAAUUUAUUGCAUCAUAUACGCAUUUCGACCACAAAUGUUUCUUCAGUAAUGGUCGAGUCAAAAUUGUUUUAAAAUAGUAAACUAAUUUAAAGAUAGUGAAUAAUAUUGACAUGCAAUAAUAAAAGAACAGUUCCGGAGCAGGAUUUGCUUAUAAAUACCGAAGUUUUUUUUAGCAGAACAGAUAUAUUUCCCUUUAUUGUUCAUUUCUGUUAUCAAUUGCCGAUAUAAUAAUUAACAAAGUUUUAAAGCUGAACGAUUUUUCCACUUAUAUUUUUAUAUCCCACUAUGGGACAUUAUGUUUUUCUGUCUGUGCGUUCGUUCGUUCGACCGUCCAUUCGUUUGUUCGUUCUUCCACCCGUCUUUCCCGCUGUAGGUUAAAUAUUUUGGUCAAGACAGUUUUUGAUGAAGUUGACGUCCAAUCAGUUUGAAACUGAGUUCACAUGUUCCCCUUGAUUUGAUUUUUUUUAAAGUAAUGCCAAAUUAGAGUUUUGAUCUCAAUUUCACGUGCAACUAAACAUCUAAAUGAUAAUGCGAGUGGGUAUCCAAUUACAAUGGACGCAUUCUUGUUAUACAUCUUUCACGUAAAUAUUUGUACGUCAUAUAUUCUAAAAUAAAACUCAUCAUUAAUCAAUAUACCUUACACAAUAUAAAAUAUCUUUCAUGUCUCUUUCAUUAUAGAAGCGACCUUUCUCAACAUGCCAACAAUAAACAUGGUUGCUAUAUUUACAAAUUUGAUAAUCGUUUAAAGAUAUUAUUAACAGCUAUACUUUGCCAUAAUGUAAUUCAUGAAGGUCUCACAUAUAUUUGAUGUGUCUCAAAAAAGAUAUUACUUUAUUUACAAAGGUAUACGUAAGCCCCUGUUUAAUCCCACUGAGAAAUUUAUCUUCACUAUAUGAGGUUUGGUAAAACCAAAUAAUAUUAUAAACAGAUCUUUACUACAAAUCUGGCAUUUUACAAGCCAUAUUCAGUUCAUUGGGUGACUUUUUACAAAUAUUUGAACCAGUAUUGAUCAUUCUGUAUUAUCGUUCAAUUAACAAAGGAAAUCUUCAUACUUCUAAGUAAACCACGUUAUUAAUUAUAGAUUGUCAAAUAAAUUUCAAAAUAUUAAACGCACCUUUCGAAUAUCGUCUCCUUUGUAUGCUUCUCAUAUUCAUAGUAAUAAAUUAAAAUACACGACACGUAUUAUCAAUAUGAUUCAUAGUAAGUUAUGAUAAGCAUUUUUAACUUUACUUUACAUUUAAACCUUCCUUGUUUGGCCUUGAUUUGACACCUUCUUUGAUGUUUGCAAACAUUGUCAUUUAUACAAAUAGUCUUCUUUAUAAAAUAAAAUUAUCACUCAUUUUAAUUUUAAUUCCUUUCAUUAACCAUUUUCGUAAUUUUCAAUGUAAUCUCAUUGAUAAAAAAACCUACACAUUUUGAUUUUUAAUUUUGCUAGGUAUUAUAUAAAGUUCCUGUGGACGACCAUCCUGUAGACGACAAUCCCCCUUCUAGAUAACAAAGUAAAAGGUAACUAAACAAUUAUGAUAAAUCAAAUAAUUUAAAAAAAAAGUCAAACAGAUUUUAAAAUCAUAAGAUUCAAGUUCUUAAACUUUAAUCAAUUUUUCAUUUCUUGUGUGACAAAUAAGUAUUAACAUUUAUACAUUUAGAUACAUUUGUUGUAAACACAUUUUUGACUUGGACUUCACGUGUGUAAUUGCAUAAGUCAUAUCUUCUUUGACUGUCCAUGACGUUAACUACUUAAUCCCUGGUAUGUGCGUAUUGUUAUGCGUUUACUUUUCUACAUUGGCUAGAGGUAUAGGGGGCGGGUUGAGAUCUCAUUAACAUGUUUAACCCCGCCGCAUUUUUGCGCCUGUCCCAAGUCAGAAGCCUCUGGCCUUUGUUAGUCUUGUAUUAUUUUAACUUUAGUUUCUUGUGUACAAUUUGGAAAUUAGUAUGGCGUUCAUUAUCACUGAACUGGUAUAUAUUUGUUUAGGGGCCAGCUGAAGGAAGCCUCCAGGUGCGGGAAUUUCUCGCUACAUUGAAGACCUGUUGGUGACCUUCUGCUGUUGUUUUUUCUAUGGUCGGGUUGUUGUCUCUUUGACACAUCCCAAUUUCUAUUCUCAAUUUUAGUUGAUUUUAGACUCUGAUGCAUGAUUUUUUAUUAAUAAUUGUUUUUAUAUCUUAACUAGCUUUCAGUAAAUGCGAGUUGCUCUGAAAUCGUACUUUCACUUUUAAUUGACCUGUUGAUACAAUUUGUAAUGCUUUUAUUUUAUUUCAUGUUUACUUAUUUAAAUUAAUAUCUCGUCUCUCUAUUUCUAGCAUAUACCAGCUUUGAUAAUUGUCUGGAAUGAAUAUAAAUUUUUACUCCUGAUCUCGUUCUAUGAACAAUAAAAUUAUAUAUUUUGUAAAAAAUAUUUCCGUUCUCAAUUACUGUACAACAUUAUUUUCCUUUAUCUGUGUACAUUAUUCUAUUUGGCGGCCUUUUCUUCGAGGUUUACAUUGUUAUAUGGCGGGUGUUUGUGCAAGGUUACGGUUGACCUGAAAUUAUUAAUUCUCUCACCCCUUAUCUUAUUUUAUUGAUUUUGUAUUUAACAUUGUGUCAUAGAUUAAAUUUAAUCGUUCCGUGUAUAUCACUUGUCUGUUUUCAUAUGUCUUUUAAAUGAGUUUAGCCAUUUCGAUUGAUAUUCUAGAGUUUGUCUUUCUAUGUUGUGAUGCUACAUCAUUGUUUCAGGUAAGGGUGAAUAAACGAUUCAUCUUUAUUAAAUUGUACAAAUAUGUUAUUGCUAUCUAGACAAAUAAACACAUCGAAGGAUGCCAGACAUUUCCAAACUUUAAACAGAUCAUAUACUUAGUGUUUUUAGUAGCUCCCAAAAAAAAAACGUAAUCCGUUUUGCAAAAUCCUUUUAAUAAAUGGUAACACCGGCUAAACAUAAAAUGAUUGGUAUAAUCAUACACAUAAAAAAAUAAGUAUUAUGUUUGCCAUAAAAACAACUCAUAGUCAGCUAAAAAAAAUGACAUAAUGCUUUUUACAAACGUACGCCUGUUGUGACAUGUAACUAUAAUUCCCUGUUGAUCAGUUUCAUCCUUGUUUUCUUCUUGAAUGUUUUUGUUUUUGUUUGUUUCAUUUAAAAAGUUAUCCUUGCUUAUCAUUCUUUUCACAGUGCUCUUUUGAUUUAGAAACAAAAAUCGUCAAUUGAUAAGAUGUUGAGAGCACGGCAGAGCAGCUAUGUUAUCAAUAACGUUGAUGUAGGUAAAACAGACCUUGGGAAUACUGUAGGCUACGAGGAAUGCCUUGAUUAUGUAGAAAAGGACGAUUAUGAUCAAAUACCGGCAGAUAGAGAUACAAUAAAUCAUGAUUACCUCGUUUUGACUUCAACAGUGAAGGAGGAGAUGAAACAAACAAACAACAUGGUUCAUCAUCAAAACAAACAAUCAGACAGCGAGGUUCAUCAAACGAAGCAGUCUUUAUUGAGGCCAAUAUUUCUAAUCAUGCUUUGCAUCAUAAUCACAGCAUCAGUUACAGCAAUUGUCACUUUCUUUGCUACGAAACAAGUACUGUCAGAAAACAAUGAAAAAUGUAAGUAUCUGACACAUUUGCUUAAACGAUAGUUGUUCUUCUGUGAUAAAGGGAAAGGGUUGUGUGCACACAAAACUUUAUUGAAUGAUUUUGUGAAAUUACCAAAUGAGGCAACAUAAAUAUUAGCCAUAUGUUUUUAGUUUUAUUUGCUUUUGUUUGUAUGUCUAUUUUCCCAUGGAAGUGAGUUUAGGAUGUUUCUGAGAUCUCUUUAAAUGAUAUCCCAGAUCCAAAAGAGGAUGUAUACAUCAUGCUCAAUAAAUAGUUAUUUAUUCUCAAUAUAAAAGCCAUGAUGAAAUUAUCGUCACAUUUUUCGAGGGAAAUAAAAAAUUAUCUUACUAAAAUUUGUGAUCAGAAUUCAUGAAAGCAUGAAUGUGACACGAUUUUAGAUUCAGGCUUUAAGUAAAUAUUGCUUCCAUGUUUGAGUUUGAUUUCUCUUUAGAUCCCAGAUUUCUAAAAACUUAAAACUGGUCUAUUAUUAGUGAGAAAAAGAUAAAUAGCCAAAUGUUCUACUUGUUAGUUAUUUAAAAGACAAUUCUAUGUUCAUGUUUCAAACAUAUUAUAACAUAUUUUUUCAGUCAAAAUUGGCGAAACAGUCUGAAUAUCAUGCAUCAUAUUUCUAAUGCAUACGGCUUAACAGAGUCCGGUUUUAUAGUUAACUGUGUGUAAAUAAAUGAGAAAGAUUCCGAUUAAGAACUGUUGGUUCGACUUUAAAGGGAGACUAUUUCAUAUCAAUCACAUCAAUUUAAAAUGUUUGACAGUAUGCUCGUGUUAGAGGGUUCGUGUUAUGUAUGUUCUACAAUGCAGACAGACCAGAAUGAAAGGCAGUUAAUUUAGACUGUUAUUGACUAUAGGAAUUUUUUAGGCAGGGAUAUAUAUUUGUUCAGCAACUUGUCAAAUACGGCUUGUCAGAGAGUUAAUUGUGUAACGACUUUUUGACGUGCAAUAAACGUUACACUCUAAUAUGUAGUUUAUCAUUUUACUUUACAAUUCAGACCGGUCAAGCUCGUGCUACAAAUCAAUACGUCCAUACAAUUCAGAUGAAGAAAGAGUUAUGAGUUAGUAAAAUAGUAAUUUUAAUCAUAGAUGCAAUGACAAAAAAAAAACCCAAUCGUAUUGCAUAAUAGUUAUCAAAGGUACCAGGAUCAUAAUUUAAUACGCCAGACGCGCGUUUUCCUAAAUAAGACUCAUCAGUGACGCUCAGAUCAAAAUAGUUAUAAAGCCAAACAAGUACAAAGUUAAAAAUUGAGGACCAAAAAUUUUUAAAAAAUGUGAUAAAUACGGCUACGGUAAUUUAUUCCUGGUAUAAGAAAAUCCUUAGUUUUUCGAAAAACUUAGAGUUUUGUAAACAGGAAAUUUAUAAAAAUGACCAUAUAAUUGAUAUUUAAGUCAACACAGAAGUGCUGACUACUGGGCUGGUGAUACCCUUGGGGACGAAACGUCAACCAGCUGUGGCAUCGACCCAGUGGUGUAAAUAGUUAUCAAAGGUACCAGGAUUAUAAUUUAAUAUGCAAGACGCGCGUUUCGUCUACUUAGACUCAUCAGUGACGCUCAGAUCAAAUUAGUUAUAAAGCCAAACAAGUACAAAGUUGAAGAGAUAUACGAUGCACAUUUCGAUAAUAAAGGUAUCUGCAGUGAUGCUCGCGAACAACAAAACAAAUUUUAGUUUUGAACUCUAGACAAAAUGACAAUCGCAAGUAAAACCCAUCUAAAAUAAAAAAGGAAAAAAUGGGUAAAUGUGUUUAAGCAGUCAUUUUUAAUCUUGUUUCUUUUAAGGUAAAGCAGACACAACACGAUGCAACACUACUUGUUGCAACAGCACAGGAGAUGCAUCUUGUACAGGUAUAUUUUUCUCAAAAACACGAAUUAGUCUCCAUGAUUAACAAAGCAAUAUUUUUUUUUUUUUAAUAUUUAUCUGAGACUUCGUCCAUGAAUCUUGGACAACACGGAUAAAGUUCAUUAUUUGCUUUAUAUAUUCCGUAAGUUCCAAAAAUUUCUACAAACUUUAAAAGUUACAUACUUUAAGUUCGUAUAAAUGGAAAACAAAACCAAAACAAAACCAGGACAACAUUCAAUUCUUUAGUAAAAUAUUAAAAUAUUAUUCAUAGAAAUCGUGGAAUGUAUUGGUAUGUGAUUCGCUACUAUUUUAAUUAUAAAAAAGAUGGAGGAACUUUUUCUAAAGAAGGACGUAAGCCAAUAAAAAAAGUACAAUGUUCUCAUCUGAUUUUAGUUCCAUGUUCGCAGGAAUCGUGUGAGAAUGGAGGAACUUGCGUCAACGAUGACUGUAUGUGUGACGAUGGGUUUGCUGGAGUAAAGUGUGAAAUAGGUUUGUUUAACUUUGAAUUAUUGAUCAGGACGAAACAAUUUAGCUAAAAUUGUCACAGUUAAACGUUGCCCACAUGCACACAUGUAUUAGAUUCAACUUUGUAAUUGCUAAUUCACUAUUUUAGACAAAACCAAAAUUUAGAUAACAAAAACAUCAGCAGUACGCAUUUAUAGAUAUAAGAAGAUGUGGUUUGAGUGUCAAUGAGACAACUCUCCAUUCAAAACAAAAUAAGUAAAAGUAAACGAACGUUAGUUUUCUCGUUCGAAUUGUUUUACAUUGUCAUAUCGGGGCCUUUUUUAGCUUACUAUGCGGUAUUGGCUCAUUGUUGAAGGCCCUAUAUUUGUUAAUGUCUGUGUCAUUUUGGUCUCUUGUGGACAAUUGUCUCAUUGGCUAUCAUACCACAUCUUAUUUUUUAUAUCAUCAUAGAAACCUUGAAAUUUUAUAUUUGCACCAGAUGCGCUUUUCGUCUACAAAAGACUCAUCAGUGACGCUCGAACAAAAAAAAGUUAAAGAGGCUAAAUAAAGUACGAAGUUUCAGAGCAUUUGAGACGAAAACUAUAUCUUGUAAACGAUUAUGUUUUCAUUAUUGUUUUUUUUUUUACACAUAACCACAUAAAGCAAUUUGAGAAAUACUUAUUCAAACCUAUGAACAACAAAACACGACAAAAAGUCGAUACAUUUAUUUCCUAACUAUAUUUAGGAGUCUUUUAUAUCAUUUUUAGAUGUCAACCAAACAUGCAAAUCUGACGCAAACAGACUCAUACCACAUCCAAAUACAUGUCAGCUGUACUAUAAUUGCAGUCAAGCAGUGUCCCCAAUUCCAACAUGGUACAGACUAUACACUCAUAUACCACAAGUUCCAAGACCUGCCUACCUGCACGAAUGUCCGUACCCUGAACUUUUCUCAACAACAACUAUGUCCUGUCAGAAUUAUACAGACGUGAAAUGUGGGUCUAGAUAUGAAACCAAAAAUAAAUGUAAGUUUAAUAGGUAAUGGUGAAUAUCGAUGAAACAUCCCUAAAUUAAGGUAUACAAAAGAUCACAAAGAGUAUAAAUAUCGUUUUGAGUAGACUGAAUUUAGAGAUUCACAAAAUUUUGUUGAUAAUAUCCGUUUCAACAAAAUAUUCUGAAAAUGAUGGUAAAGAUUAUAUGAAUUGACAAUAUUUAUAAAAAUAAAUAAGUUGAUAAAUAGAUGAAUAAAUGAAUGAAAACAAAAACACGAUUCACCUUGUAUACGUUACAGGGAAUUUGUAAAAUCAGGGAUUUUUGUAAAUCACUGGACUAAUCAGUGGUUGUGUCAAACUAACAGUUUCAGUGGUUUUAUAAAAUCUCUGAAAUUGUUAAGGAUUUUACAAAAUCACUGAAAAUAGAGCUAGGGAUUUUGUAAAAAAAACCUGAUUACAAUAAAGUAUAACAUGCUAUUAGAAAUGUGUUUUUCUUAACAUUAAGAUAGACCAAAUUAAUGAUCACUAAUGAUUUAGAAAUAUAUUUGUUUAAUAAACACGAUGAGCUAGAAAUUGUGAAAAAUGAUAAUGACUAAAAGGCAUUUUAAUGGGUAUUUAGACCACUCUGAAUUUGCUUAUUUUUGCAAGACAAGUUUGGGUGACAUUCCUACCACUAUAUAAGCUAUUGAUAUGUGAAUGUUCUUACUUAUGCUGUACAUGUCUUCAAGACAUACAUAAUAUUUUUAAAACAUCUUCAUCUGAUGAAUAUCGUUUUUAACAAUUUUUUUCAAAUCUUCACAUUGAAGAACUUCAUACCUUCAUUUAUCAACAAAAUAUUUAUUGUAUUUGGAUUAAAAGAGUUGAGAAAUUUUAGAAACUUAUUCAAAGUUAUACCACUUUGUGAUAGAAUACAUGUGUCUGAUAAAUGACCAAAGUAGGUAAACUUUGUGAUAUAAUACAUGUGUCUGAUAAAUGACCAAAGUAGGUAAACUUUGUGAUAUAAUACAUGUGUCUGAUAAAUGACCAAAGUAGGUAAACUGUUGGUGACAUUCUGCUGUUGUUUGCUCUAUGGUCGGGUUGUUGUCUCUUUGGCACAUUCUCCAUUUCCAUUCUCAAUUUUAUUAUUAUUUGUUUAUUUUUACUUGGUAAGAUUAACCUAUUCAUAAACAUGCAAGUACAAAACAUAGUAUUAUUACCAAUAUUUUAUGUUGUCUUUUUUUAUUAUUAUUUUGUGAAUAUAAAUGUUAUUUUGUAGGCAGCAAAUUAAUAAUAAAACACUUAUUUGCUUUUUAUAUAUCAAUUUUCAUGCAGAAAUAAGAUGCUCUUCAUCUGAUAUGCAUGUAAUAUUUACCACUGUAUCACAUACCCUAACCCACUCAAUUUCUUAUACCUUACAUAAGUGUUUUUCUUCUCUAAUGCCAGCAAUCAACCUAAUGUUCAGUUUUGAUUUUAGAUUUAAAUAAAUUGAUAUAAUUGGUUUUAUUUUCUACAGUAAUUCCAUGUAUACAGAAAAACUAUAAUAAACAGUGACUUUCUUUCAAACCCGGAAGUGAUAAGAGCUUGUUUUGUCUUUUUUCUGUGGCUCAUUGACAAAAUAUUCCAAAAUGUUUAUCAUAUUUUCCCUGGUUCAAUAUGUUGCACUUUAAUUUUACCUCAAUUAUUUGAAGUAGCUUUUGUGUGUAUGUUUGCUCUUCAUUUCAAGACAUUUGUGCCUGAGCCAUUGCUCUACAGUAUGUCAGUUGUUUUGUGCAUGAAAACCGCUCACUUAAUAUUAAGAUAAAGACUAGAUUAACCUCAAUCUUAUUGAGUGUUACUGUUGUAGUCUUUUUUCACAUAAAUUCUUAAUAAAAGUGAAUGAAUGUAUUUUGCAAAUUCCCUGAAUUUAAUCAGUGAAUCUGUAAAAAAGAUCUUAAUUAUUUCAGGGAUUUUGUAACAUCACUAGUCAAAAUCAGGGAUUUUAUAAAAUCACUAAACAGAUUUCACAAAUAUCCUGUAACAUAUAUACUCAUACGAUUCAUUUGUUAUAACAUUGAUUAUGGUUAGACAAAGUAAUUUCUAUGCACUUAAACAUAUGAAUAUUAAGAAUAAUUUGAAAUCGACAAAUCGUUUGUUGCUAGCAAUGGCAUAUUUUAUAAAUUAUUGCUCAUCUUGUAGGUGACUACCUUGCAGUUAACUAUUAUUGCAUGGGUGCAUGUAAGGUAUGCACAUAUUCCUUCCCUGACUGUGCGGGAUUUGCUGACGGAAUACACAGAAAUGAAUAUAGUUCGCAAUCAAGCACAUAUUUUGAGUGUCAAAAUGAAAGGAACAUUUAUGGUGGUCAAAAUCCUUGUCCAAGUAACAUGGCACCUCACAAUGGCAAAUGCACAGACCUUUUCGAAAUACAACAUGUGCAACAUUCCAAUUGGCAGCUUGGAUACGCUAUAGACUGCUCCGGUCGACCAAAUGGUAACUAUAAAAGUGAACAUGUUCAAAAGUGCGAUAUCUACUACACUUGUGUAAAUGGAAACUCUACGCUAACAUACUGUGAUUCUGAACUAGUCUUUGAUUCAAAGUCGUCCUUCUGUCAGAAUACAACAAAUGUAUGUACCCCAUGCGGAUCCGUUGUGUCCGGUUGUUAAUGAAAAUGUGACAACAAUAAUCCGAAUUUGCACAUCUUAGCUAAUGUUAGCAAACCUCUGCAAAGUAUCCUACAAAUCCUUUCUAGGCAGAUGAGACUAUGAACGGAAAUUUUCUCUCGCAUUUCUCGUUAAACCAUAUAUACUAGUAAUUAAAGAAAUGUUUGUGAAAUUUGUAUUUGUACAGGACUUCAAAGAUCUUAAGAAAAUUGACCAUUACAAUGUAUACCAAACCAAUAACUCAACUGUCUCGUCGAAGAGAAGACGUUAUUUCUUUUUAUGAGUCUGUUAUAAGCAUUUAUAUAUUUGUGUUUAGAACAAAAGAAUAUAAUGUUGCUUGAAAUCAUUUUGAAUUUCAUGAAACUCUCACAGUUAUGUUUUUUUAUCUUUCAUUUGUAUAUAUUAAAGGCUUUUAUGAGACUUGAUCAACGGGGAAACUAAUGUUGCCUCGAACUUAUAACAGUGG